rnacentral:rRNA from 1 species
AUACGGAGGGUGCAAGCGUUACUCGGAAUCACUGGGCGUAAAGCGCGCGCAGGCGGCUAUUUAAGUUGGAUGUGAAAGCCUACGGCUCAACCGUAGAACUGCAUCCAAAACUAUUUAGCUAGAGUGUGGGAGAGGAAGAUGGAAUUAGUUGUGUAGGGGUAAAAUCCGUAGAGAUAACUAGGAAUACCAAAAGCGAAGGCGAUCUUCUGGAACAGUACUGACGCUGAGGCGCGAAAGCGUGGGGAGCGAACAGGAUUAGAUACCCGAGUAGUCC